rnacentral:lncRNA from 1 species
AACAGAUAGCAGGAUUCCCGUGUAAUCAGAUAUGUAAUUUGACACGUGUCAAACGGUUCAUUGAUUUUCGGCAUAUCAAAGAAAAACAGGCACGUGCCUAAAUAAUGUUGAAUAUCUUAUUUAUCUAUGAUUAUUUUUCUAUAAAAUUUGAAAUUUAUGCAUUAAAUAUCAAUCUCUACCAUAAUAUGAAAAGAAAUUACAUGUAACAGCACCCCAUCUAGUCCUUAGUGGCAUGUUACAAGUCCUUAGUGCACUAAGGAGUCCUUAGCAGUGUUUAGACGCAC